rnacentral:rRNA from 1 species
AGAGUUUGAUCCUGGCUCAGGAUGAACGCUAGCGGCAGGCCUAAUACAUGCAAGUCGUACGGGAUAAGUUGUAGCAAUACGACUUUGAGAGUGGCGUACGGGUGCGUAACACGUAUGCAACCUACCUUUGACUGGGGCAUAGCCCGGAGAAAUUCGGAUUAAUACCCCAUAACAUAAUAAAGUGGCAUCACUUUAUUAUCAAAACUACGGUGGUCAAAGAUGGGCAUGCGGCUGAUUAGCUAGUUGGUGAGGUAACGGCUCACCAAGGCUACGAUCAGUAGGGGGUCUGAGAGGAUGUCCCCCCACACUGGUACUGAGACACGGACCAGACUCCUACGGGAGGCAGCAGUAGGGAAUAUUGGUCAAUGGACGCAAGUCUGAACCAGCCAUGCCGCGUGCAGGAUGACUGCCCUAUGGGUUGUAAACUGCUUUUAUCAGGGAAGAAACCCCUCUACGUGUAGAGGGCUGACGGUACCUGAGGAAUAAGGAUCGGCUAACUUCGUGCCAGCAGCCGCGGUAAUACGAAGGAUCCAAGCGUUGUCCGGAUUUACUGGGUUUAAAGGGUGCGUAGGCGGACUUUUAAGUCAGUGGUGAAAGCCGGUAGCUUAACUAUCGAAUUGCCAUUGAAACUGAAAGUCUCGAGUAUGGUUGAGGUGGCCGGAAUGUAUCAUGUAGCGGUGAAAUGCUUAGAUAUGAUACAGAACACCAAUUGCGAAGGCAGGUCACUAAGCCAUAACUGACGCUGAGGCACGAAAGCGUGGGGGAGCAAACAGGAUUUAGAUACCCUGGUAGUCCACGCC